rnacentral:rRNA from 1 species
AACGAACGCUGGCGGCAUGCCUAACACAUGCAAGUCGAACGAGAUCUUCGGGUCUAGUGGCGCACGGGUGCGUAACGCGUGGAAUCUGCCCUUUGGUUCGGAAUAACAGUUGGAAACAACUGCUAAUACCGGAUGAUGACGAAAGUCCAAGAUUUAUCGCCAGAGGAUGAGCCCGCGUAGGAUUAGCUAGUUGGUGUGGUAAAGGCGCACCAAGGCGACGAUCCUUAGCUGGUCUGAGAGGAUGAUCAGCCACACUGGGACUGAGACACGGCCCAGACUCCUACGGGAGGCAGCAGUGGGGAAUAUUGGACAAUGGGCGAAAGCCUGAUCCAGCAAUGCCGCGUGAGUGAUGAAGGCCUUAGGGUUGUAAAGCUCUUUUACCCGGGAUGAUAAUGACAGUACCGGGAGAAUAAGCUCCGGCUAACUCCGUGCCAGCCGCCGCAGUAA